ensembl:antisense Gm11724 predicted gene 11724
AGGAGCAGCACCAGGUGGAAGAAGAAGGUGGAGCUGGAGGCUCGGAAACGCCGCGGGGACGCCCUGGAGUUCCUCAGGAGGGUGUACUGGAGCACCGUCUGACCCAGGGAGAAGGAGAACAUGCCCAAGCUGGCCAGCUUCAGCACCACGCACCUACGGACGAGGCGUGCGUCAUGCGGGGAUGCAUCAGAGGGUCCGGGCCCGAUCUAUUCAGGCUGUUGCCCGAGAUCCUGAGUCCUGGGCACUGCCCCUAUUUCAAAGUUCAGUCUCUGUCCAGCUUGCUUUAUCUCCCGCCAGUGUUUCUCAAAACACGUUCCUCAAACCUGACUCUACAGAGUCUCAGGGAAUGGGUCCUGUUUCUAAACCAGUUUGGGAAAUACUGCACCACCCAGCUAUACUCCUUGCUGCCAGCUUUACGAUUUAUUCCAACGCGUCGCACAAGAGAAACUCCGCACCUUCCUGAGUCCUCAGA